rnacentral:rRNA from 1 species
GUGCCAGCAGCCGCGGUAAUACGUAGGGUGCAAGCGUUAAUCGGAAUUACUGGGCGUAAAGCGUGCGCAGGCGGUUUUGUAAGUCUGUCGUGAAAUCCCCGGGCUCAACCUGGGAAUUGCGAUGGAGACUGCAAGGCUAGAAUCUGGCAGAGGGGGGUAGAAUUCCACGUGUAGCAGUGAAAUGCGUAGAGAUGUGGAGGAACACCGAUGGCGAAGGCAGCCCCCUGGGUCAAGAUUGACGCUCAUGCACGAAAGCGUGGGGAGCAAACAGGAUUAGAAACCCCCGUAGUCC